rnacentral:ncRNA from 1 species
UAAAGGUUUGAUCCUGACCUUAUUAUCAACUGUUUCUCGACUUACACAUGCAAGUCUCAGCAGACCUGUGAGGACGCCCUUUCAACCUUCACCAGGCUAAGGAGCCGGUAUCAGACUCUAACCCAAGUCCACAACACCUAGUCUCACCACACCCCCAAGGGCCAUCAGCAGUGAUAAAUCUUGAGCAUGAGCGAAAGCUCGACUCAGUCAGAGAAAAGAGAGCCGGCCAACCCGGUGCCAGCCGCCGCGGCUACACCGAGGGACUCAAGUUGAAAAUUUUCGGCGUCAAGCGUGAUUAGAGUCCACUAAGAUUAGGGUUGAAUUAAUACUUAGCAGUAUAAAGCUUGCUAUUAAGAAGAACAAAAACGAAAGUUACCCUAACCCCUACACUUGAAUACACGACAGCUGGGAGACAAACUAGGAUUAGAUACCCUACUAUGCCCAACCGUAAACAAUUAACUUACACCAAUAAACGCCAGGGGACUACGAGCUAUGCUUAAAACCCAAAGGAUUUGACGGUGUCCCACCCAACUAGAGGAGCCUGUUCUAUAAUCGAUAAUCCCCGAUACACCCCACCACCCCUUGCUCAUCAGUCUGUAUACCUCCGUCGAAAACUUACCAUGUGAACGUUUAUAGUAAGUUCAAUGAUUGUACUACAUCAACACGUCAGGUCAAGGUGCAACUUAAGGGAUGGAAAGUAAUUGGCUACAAUUUCUAACCUAGAACAAACGAAAGACUAUGUGAAAUCAUAGUAGCGAAGGCGGAUUUAGUAGUAAAAAGAAAAUAGAGAGUUCUUUUUAACCCGGCUCUGGAACGCGUACACACCGCCCGUCACCCUCUUCAACAGCAACACUAUUCAAGUUCAUAACUCACUUAUGCGUCUUAGAAGAGGCAAGUCGUAACAUGGUAAGGGUACUGGAAAGUGCUCUUGGUAAAUA